UUAUUACUCCCUUCGUCUCAAAAUUCUUGUCUUAGAUUUGCUUAGAUAUGAAUGUAUCUAGUCAAGUUUUAGUAUUUAGAUACAUUCAUUUCUAGACAAAACUAAGACAACAAUUUUGGGAUGGCCCGCAAGAUAAAAU
rfam:Hordeum vulgare subsp. vulgare, WGS project CAJW01000000 data, contig: morex_contig_8816